rnacentral:lncRNA from 1 species
AGUGUUGGCAUCCACCCCAGCCCUGCGGAGAGAGAUGCUUUCUGCUCAUGCACCUCAGUUUGGCCCAGUGAACACCUGCACCACCCAAGUGCCGUGGGGUGGGAUCUGGCCGGUGAUGGUGAUCAGAGUGGCACGGAGUCCAAGGCAUAACUGCAGUAGCAGAUCCCUGGCCCAGGAGCAGCAAACCCAGAAGUCUCCCUGCAGCGAGGUUGUGCUCUACUUCACAGGGAGAGACCACAGAGCUGGGCUCCCAGUGGACCCACAGAGAAUCCUGUGCAGCUCAUUUCCCCAAAAGCUUCUGAGCCCCAGCAUCUGUGUGCUAUUCCUGAGUGGAAAGACCAAGAUGUCUCUUCACAAGCAG